UAGCAAGGCACAGUCUCUGACUUUGCAGGG
rnacentral:piRNA from 1 species